rnacentral:misc_RNA from 1 species
AAGUAUGUUUAAUAUUAUUAGAUGCGUUUGAGCUGCAGCUUACGAGGGAGAAUCUUCAAGGGUAUAAUGAUGUCUGCUGCUAUGUUUUUGUAUUUCUCAUGUUCAAUUGAAUAAUUAUUUGAAAGUUGUCAGCAAAUUUGUUUACUAUUUCAUUUCCAUUUUCUGAUUUUGUGUCUCCGAAUAUGAUUUCAUUUCACUUCCUUGACAGGGGAGAAUCAAACCAUUGAGUGG